rnacentral:lncRNA from 1 species
AACUAAGUGCAGUUGAAAGCCGGCAGCGGCGGUGCAGACCUCGACUUCCAUACUUCCUUGUCAGCAGCAGCAUUGUUCAUGUCAUACUACUGGAGGGUAAACGCGAGGAAGGAGGGGAGCGGUGGUAGAGGAGGCUAGCUCGGGGACUAGCUUCACCUCUCCUGCGCACAUGGCAGAUGGAACUUGUUUCACCUGCGAGCAUGUAAGCAGCGAGAUAUAGCUAGCUGGAAUUUAGACAGAUUAGCAAGAAUUUGAGGAAGAACUCAGAGGAAUCUCGUUAGAACGAGUAGUGCUUAGGAGUUAAGGAUUACAAUUUAGUUCUUCCAUGAUUCCUCUCCCCUCUCUCUGAGUCAUACAUAUACUACUUCAUCCUGUUUCGUCCAACUAGUAGUGCAGGUGACCUAUUCCCACUCUAGGCCUUGAACAUGUGGGUUGGGCAGUGCCUGAAUGUCAAUUGGCAGAUGAGAUACCGACUGCUCUGGAUCCACAUUAUCAAUCAUUUGCAACUGGAUAACAAUGUCAUUCUUCGCAUGAUGUGUGAGACCCUGCAACAACACAGUGGUGCCCUGAUAUGGUAUAGAUAACCACUUUUCCUUCCAGUGGACUUCCAUUGGACUGUACAACUCUAACCAAUCCAUGCCAAGGAUGAGAUCAUAGGAAUCCAAAGGUAAGAUCCGCAAGUCAUGCUGAAACUGUAUUGUGCCCAGAGAAAAAUUGCAAUCUGGAAUGGAAGCAGUGCAACGCAUAGUGUGUCCGUUGGCAACCUUGACCGAAGCUGAACUGGCUGUCCUGGGAAGGUGUUGUAGCUGAGACGCAACAGAUGUAGCCAGAAAUAAAGCAGAGCUACCAGAAUCCACCAGUACUGUGACUGUCAAGCCUUGUAACGAUCCCAGGAACUGGAUAGUUUGUCGGCCUUGUGAUCCCCGCUGUGCAUCUUGAGAGAGAGCCACAAAGAGAUGUUCUGGCGGUGACUCGGUAAUAGGUCGAUCCUCAUCAACAUCGUCAGGCAACGCUUCAAGGUGAAACAAAUCCCAGAUUUCUUGCAUAGCAUGGAGGGAUAUGGCAGAUGCACACUUGUGGCCACGAAACCACUUCUCCGCACAGAAGUCACAAAGACCCCUUGCUCGGCGAUAUGCUCGUAAUGCCGAAAUCUUGUCAUCCUGAACUUGCGGCUUGGUCAGAGAUUUCUCAGCAUUGACACUACUGGCCCCUGCUGGAUGACGCGGUGAAGUCUGAACCGGCCGAGAUCCUGGUCUUGCUCCACGGUCGUAACCGUGAAAUUCACUUUUCUUGGGUGCCUCCACCAUUUCCUCCUGCAACAGAGCAAGCAUGUACGCAGUAUCGAGAUUGGAGGGACGCUGAAUAGCGACAGCUAUGCGAAUUUCAUGCUUGAGACCAUCAAUAAAGCGAGUAGUAUAAUAAUGCAUAUCGGGGUCGGACUGGUAGGCUUUAAGCUGAUCGAACAAGGAAGAAAAGCGCUCCACAUAAUCAAGGACAGUGCUAGAUUGGUUAAUGUGGAACAUUUGGCGAGAAAGCCGAUCGCGCUGGUCACGGCCAAAGCGAUCAUGGAGCAUUUUGCAGAAAUCCGGCCAAGGAAUGCGAUCAGGAUGAUGGAGGGAUUCAAUCCAUCGUGCAGCAGCACCACGAAAGUGCAUUCGCGACACUUUUACCCAACGAUAAGGAGGAACAGAGUACAUCUCAAAGUAAUCCUCAGCUUGUGAAAUCCAGAGACGUGUGGUUUCACCCUCAUAGGUAGGAAAAUUAAGCUUAGGCAAGCGACUAUGGUCAUUAAGUGCGAGAUCUGGUGGAUGAGUGGCAUGCUGAGAAUCAAACAAAGUACAUGAAACUGCUGUAGGUCUGAAUACGUACCAUUGGUCGGGGAAUGGUUCGGGGAAAGUUUUUCCCCAUCACCAUCCACCCGUGUAAUCAUGUCAUCGUGGUGCCCGCUGGGCCGAGCAGCCAUAUUGCCUACAGGUGAGCGCAUGGCGGUCUGCUCCAACAUCGGCGAUGAAGACAUCACCCCGGCUGAAGGAAAUGGAUUGUCGAAGACGGAUCGAUCCAUGUACUUGGUGAGCUUGGACAUCUUCAGCUUGAGGUCGUCCAUGUCACCCUCCGUCGUCUGGCGCCAGGCCUCCAGCGACCCAGUAGCCUUGAGUACGGAGGCGACGACGGUGUCCUGACGAAGCUCGGCAUCGGACAGAAGCAUGGAUUGGCGCAUCUCUGAAUCAGUGAUGCGACGCUCCCAGUUCAGAUCGGAGUCGGCGAUUUGCUUGGCGAGGGAUGCGUCGAUGUCGCUGAACUUGUUGGUGACGGACUCAUCGAUCUCGGCGAGGCGAGCCUCUAGGGCGCGGUCGCUGGCAACAAAGCGCUGCUCGAGGGAAUCGAGCUUGCGGUCCGUCGCAGCGAAGCGCGAAUCGAACUCCGUACGCUGCUCCUGGAAGAGACGGUGCAUCUCGUCGAGAAUCAACUUGGAAUCGGGAUUCAUGGCGCCGCGGCUGCGAGCGAAACGCGUGAAGUGGUGAUGGCGUGGAGGCGGCGGCGGCGACGGUGGCGGCGGCGGGGAAGAUUGAUCCAGAUCGCGAAUCGAACCCGGAUCGAGCGCGUGCGUGGAAUUACGGAGCUCAAGAUGCGCGAAUGCAAAUCGAACUCGACAACCAGAGGCGUUUGCGGCUCGAACUACGGAUCCGAAAAAAAUUUGGUGUGCGGAAGACACGCUAGCUCUGGUACCAGAUGUAAGCAGCGAGAUAUAGCUAGCUGGAAUUUAGACAGAUUAGCAAGAAUUUGAGGAAGAACUCAGAGGAAUCUCGUUAGAACGAGUAGUGCUUAGGAGUUAAGGAUUACAAUUUAGUUCUUCCAUGGUUCCUCUCCGGCUCUCCCCUCUCUCUGAGUCAUACAUAUACUACUUCAUCCUGUUUCGUCCAACUAGUAGUGCAGGUGACCUAUUCCCAGUCUGGGCCUUGAACAUGUGGGUUGGGCCGUCGCUGGCGCACACUCCUUCUUGGCCCAUCAGCAUUGUCUUCUGGAGGUGUCGUAGUUGUGUUGCUGACA